rnacentral:ribozyme from 1 species
UAGAAAUACCGCACUGGUAGGGUAUGGAUCCGAAGCCUCUAGAAGGAUAACAAAGGCUCUCCACACUCUACUCCUACUCAAUACGUCCCCGGCGUACAGAGCGGUAACAUGUCUCUCCAAAUAUCUGAGCUUGGGUAUACGGGGAAACCCAACCCUGCGUGCAAAGCAACUCAAAUUCUCCCGUU